AGUGAACGCUGGCGGUAGGCCUAACACAUGCAAGUCGAACGGCAGCACAGUAAGAUCUUGCUCUUACGGGUGGCGAGUGGCGGACGGGUGAGGAAUACAUCGGAAUCUACUUUUUCGUGGGGGAUAACGUAGGGAAACUUACGCUAAUAUCGCAUACGACCUACGGGUGAAAGCAGGGGAUCUUCGGACCUUGCGCGAUUGAAUGCGCCGAUGUCGGAUUAGCUAGUUGGCGGGGUAAAGGCCCACCAAGGCGACGAUCCGUAGCUGGUCUGAGAGGAUGAUCGGCCACACUGGAACUGAGACACGGUCCAGACUCCUACGGGAGGCAGCAGUGGGGAAUAUUGGACAAUGGGCGAAAGCCUGAUCCAGCCAUACCGCGUGGGUGAAGAAGGCCUUCGGGUUGUAAAGCCCUUUUGUUGGGAAAGAAAAGCAGCAGGUUAAUACCCCGCUGUUCUGACGGUACCCAAAGAAUAAGCACCGGCUAACUACGUG
rnacentral:rRNA from 1 species